GAAAGAAACAGUUUCUCUUUCUUCUCUGAACCAGUCCCUUCUCUGAAACGAAGCAGCACUUCGAGAGAAAUGAACUAAUACAGUGAAUCGUUCUCAUUCAAACCUAAUUUUCCAUCAAAAGAAACAAAACACAUAAUCAAUUUCAUUGACAAAUUUCGAUACUAACCAGAAAGCAUCCACAAAAACCCUAUGAAAAAUGGCUAAAUCAAAGCAGAAUUCUCAAUCAAAAGCAUAUAAAAACAAGGAGAGUUGUCGUUCAAGAAAAAUUGACGAUUCAAGAAGAAUCCCAGCAAGAAAAUGAAGAUGGAGUUCAUCCUCCUUUUGGUGAACUCUGUAAUUUAUGCUUGUUUUCUUGUAUGACUUCAUGCCGUCUUGUGAACUGUGAGGUGGUAUUCGUUCUCAGGGAGCUGGGGUUCACCCUCCUUUUGGUAAACUCUGUACUUUAUGCUUGUUUUCUUGUAUGAGUUCAUGUCGUCUUGUAAACUGUGAGGUGGUAGUCGUUCUCAGGGAGCUGGGGUUUACCUUCCUUGGUGAACUCUGUACUUUAUGCUUGUUUUCUGGUAUGAGUUCAUGCCGUCUUGUGAACUGUGAGGUGGUAGUCGUUCUCAGGGAGCUGGGGUUCACCUUCCUUGGUGAACUCUCCACUUUAUGCUUGUUUUCUGGUAUGAGUUCAUGUUGUAUUGUGAACUGUGAGGUGGUAGUCGUUCACCAAGGAGUUGGGGUUCACCCUCCGUGGUGAACUCUCCACUUUAUGCUUGUUUUCUAGUAUGAGUUCAUGCUGUAUUGUGAACUGUGAGGUGAUAUUCGUUCUCAGGGAGCUGGGGUUCACCUUCCUUGGUGAAACUCUCCACUUUAUGUUUGUUUUCUGGUAUGAGUUCAUGUUGUAUUGUGAACUGUGAGGUGGUAGUCGUUCACCAAGGAGUUGGGGUUCACCCUCCUUGGUGAACUCUCCACUUUAUGUUUGUUAUCUGGAAGGAAUUCAUGCUUAUCUUGAACUCUGGACUUUGUAGGAGUUCGUGUUGUUUUCCCAUGUUCUUGUAAAAACGGGGGUUCAUUUAUAAUUACUUUUUUAAUGUGGAUGAGGAUGCAAAUAAAGCUAGUAAAAACUCAAGUAUAAAGUUCAAAGGUAGCUUUGCUGCUUUCAUUGCACUUGCUAAGCGUAUUAGAGAACUGAAAGAUGGAGAAGCUUUAAAUGCACAGCAGAUGGCCCUGAUAAGAAAGAGUCCAUUUGGGAAUGUAAUGUAUGUUCUUCUAGUAGACACUACUGUUUCUACAGAGUGGAAUAAGACAGUGAAGUCUUGUCAGUUUCUAUGGAAAGCAUGUAAAAAGGGAAUUCCUGGUCAAGAGGGUGUUUUUCAAUUUACAAUUGAUGGGAAAACAUACAUCCUAAGAUCUUAUCCUGAAGAGUUAUCAGUAAUGUAUGGCAUUCCGUGUAUCAGGGGAGAAGGGGGGAUUGAAGAGUCACUGCUAGAGUGCAAAAGUAUAAGUGAUUGCAGAUACGGAAGGUUCUAUAAAACUCACAAAUUCACUCCACCGGCAUAUAAAGAACUUGAAAUAAAAAAUACAGAACUGAAAACUAAGAUCUUAGAGUUAGUUAAAUUUAAAACCCAUAAUGAAGAUCUUGUUACAAUGAUGGAACUUUUCUUGUUGUCAACACUUUUUCUUACUACUGGUGAUGGAAGUUUCAUCCACUGUAAGUACAUAGGCUGCUUAGAGUGAGUAGGUAUAGUCUCCUGGCCUCACCUGAUUCACAAGCAUACCAUGGAAAGUGUGGCAAGAGAGUCUACUGAAGGAUGUUACAUGUACUUACUGACUUGGCUUGCUGAGCAUUCCAAUUUGAUACCUCAGUGGAGAGUGGAAGAAAAGACGACGAUAAAGUUUACCGUCCCAGAUUUGCAAGGUGGAGAAUCAAAGAUAUUUGCAAAGCAUUAGAUAUGAAUGUUUCACAAUUUGGAAAGCUGUCACCAAAAUUCUUGGAGACUUACACUGUAAUUGAACAAAAAAUAAUGAAUCAACUGAGGAUGAAGACGAAGGUUGAGAUGGAGGAAUAUGAUAAUAUGACCAAACAGAUAGAAGCGCUGAAAGAUAAACAUGCUGAAGAGAUGAGAACAGUAAAAUCUAAAUAUGUUGCAAAGGUUAAAAGAAUGAAGCAAAACCAUGUAGGUGAAAUAACAGAUCUAGAAGUGAAGCAAAAUGAACUAGAAGAUAAGUUUGCAGAAAUGACAGUUGCAAAAGACUCUUUUUAGAAAAAGAUGGAUUACCUGGCUACACACUUGAGAUCAAAGACAACUGAAGUUGAUGACAUUCUGCAAAGAGAAGGCGUGGAAAGUGUAAUCAGAUACAUGACAAAUCAGACAACAGAGUUCUUGCAAUGAUCUUUCCAAACAGAGUACCAAUUGGCAUUGUUGGGGUGUAUUGACUAAUAGCGACUACUUGAACAAUGUUACAUGAUCUUGGUUUAGAUUAAAUAGAACAACUUUAUUAAACAAACAUUUUUAGUUUUUUUGCUUGAACAACUUUGUUUUCUAUCAUUCUGUAACUUUAGUUCUUUUUUGUUUUCUCAAUGAACUGACAGUUUUAGUUCUCAAUGAACUGACAGUUUUAGUUCUUUUUUUUUUUCUCUAGCAUCAGUUCAUGUAUGUGUUUUGGAUAAUAUGUUACUUGGUUCAUUUUGGUAAAAUGUCACUGAUCUG